rnacentral:misc_RNA from 1 species
GAUGAAGAACGUAGUGAAAUGCGAUAAGUAAUGUGAAUUGCAGAACUCAGUGAAUCAUCGAAUCUUUGAACGCACAUUGCGCCCCCUGGAAUUCCGGGGGGCAUGCCUGUUCGAGCGUCUCAGGGACGAACCCUCGCGCGGGUGUACGCGCGGUCGUGGCUGCGGUGGCGUGCCCGAGGCGGCGGCCACCGCGCUGGAAUCCAUGGGCGGACGCCUGCCGCGUGGCCGAGCGUGAUAUGACGCAUUGGCGCUCGCACGCGGAGAGGCUGCCAGCCCUGGCCCGUCUGUCGGGCGGGGGAGAGCAAGACACGUGAACUCCUCGAAUCAGGUAGGGAUACCCGCUGAACUUAAGCAUAUCAAUAAGCGAGGA